rnacentral:rRNA from 1 species
ACUCAAAUGAAUAGACGGGGGCCCGCACAAGCGGUGGAACAUGUGGUUUAAUUCGAUGCAACGCGCAGAACCUUACCUAGGUUUGACAUCCUCGGAACCCUGCAGAAAUGCGGGGGUGCCUUCGGGAACCGAGUGACAGGUGGUGCACGGCUGUCGUCAGCUCGUGUCGUGAGAUGUUGGGUUAAGUCCCGCAACGAGCGCAACCCUCGUUGUCUGUUGCUACAGGUAGAAAUAUGCUGAGCACUCAGGCGAGACUGCCGGUGAUAAACCGGAGGAAGGUGGGGAUGACGUCAAGUCAGCAUGCCCCUUAUAUCUAGGGCUACACACGUGUUACAAUGGGAUAGGACAACGGGCAGCCAACCAGCGAUGGUGCGCUAAUCCCUUAAACCUACCCUCAGUUCGGAUUGGAGUCUGCAACUCGACUCCAUGAAGUCGGAAUCGCUAGUAACCGCGGAUCAGCAGCGCCGCGGUGAAUACGUUCCCGGGCCUUGCACACACCGCCCGU